GCCGAGAUGGCGGAAUGGUAUACGCGCAUGCCUUAGGAGCAUGUGGGCGAAAGCCCGUGGAGGUUCAAGUCCUCUUCUCGGCACCA
rnacentral:tRNA from 1 species